UUUACCUUAAAAGAAUUAUGGUAGCAAGAUGUGGAAUAAGAUAUUUUAUUAGUUUCCUUAUUCAUUUAAUAAAUCAUAAUUCUAUAAGAAGCAUGCCAGUGUGAGUUGAACGGACCCUGAUGUGCUACACUGCAGUGUGGCAUACGGCAAGGUUCGGCAAUUCUUAAACUGUUCCGCUGUGGAAGUUCAUUUCAAAACUCUUGUUUUAACAUUAGCUUGUCAAAGAAAUGAAGUAACAUUUGACUCUUUUGGACAAAAGAAUUCAACGCUCUCUCAAUGGUGGAUUCUUACGAAAACUUCUUU
rnacentral:lncRNA from 1 species